rnacentral:rRNA from 1 species
UACGAAGGGGGCUAGCGUUGUUCGGAAUUACUGGGCGUAAAGCGUGCGCAGGCGGCUGCUCAAGUCAGGGGUGAAAGCCCAGAGCUCAACUCUGGAAUUGCCUUUGAGACUGAGUGGCUUGAGUACGGGAGAGGUGAGUGGAAUUCCCAGUGUAGAGGUGAAAUUCGUAGAUAUUGGGAAGAACACCGGUGGCGAAGGCGGCUACCUGGACAGUGACUGACGCUGAGACGCGAAAGCGUGGGGAGCAAACAGG